AACCAAUGUGAGUUUGCUCCUUGGAAAGAAGGAAUAAAAGUUGGUGACCUGGGUGCUCAGUGGAACUGAGCCAUCAACUGAGAAAGAAAGAUCUUUCUGCAUCCACACAGAAAGAAUCAAACAAGAUGAACUUUUCUGCAUGACCCUGGAGGUGGGGCUCCGCUGAGAGUGAAUAUGCCUGCUCUACGAAGAGCCCCAGAAUUGUCCUGCCAGACUGCUCUAGGGUUCCAUUUCCUUCUAAGGAGAUGAAGGUUCACUGGCUUCCCUGCACUGAAAGAGAC
rnacentral:lncRNA from 1 species